rnacentral:rRNA from 1 species
AUUGAACGCUGGCGGCAGGCCUAACACAUGCAAGUCUAGCGGAUGAAGGGAGCUUGCUCCUGGAUUCAGCGGCGGACGGGUGAGUAAUGCCUAGGAAUCUGCCUGGUAGUGGGGGAUAACGUCCGGAAACGGGCGCUAAUACCGCAUACGUCCUGAGGGAGAAAGUGGGGGAUCUUCGGACCUCACGCUAUCAGAUGAGCCUAGGUCGGAUUAGCUAGUUGGUGGGGUAAAGGCCUACCAAGGCGACGAUCCGUAACUGGUCUGAGAGGAUGAUCAGUCACACUGGAACUGAGACACGGUCCAGACUCCUACGGGAGGCAGCAGUGGGGAAUAUUGGACAAUGGGCGAAAGUCUGAUCCAGCCAUGCCGCGUGUGUGAAGAAGGUCUUCGGAUUGUAAAGCACUUUAAGUUGGGAGGAAGGGCAGUAAGUUAAUACCUUGCUGUUUUGACGUUACCAACAGAAUAAGCACCGGCUAACUUCGUG